CCUACGGGAGGCAGCAGUGGGGAAUAUUGGACAAUGGGCGAAAGCCUGAUCCAGCAAUGCCGCGUGAGUGAUGAAGGCCUUAGGGUUGUAAAGCUCUUUUACCAGGGAUGAUAAUGACAGUACCUGGAGAAUAAGCUCCGGCUAACUCCGUGCCAGCAGCCGCGGUAAUACGGAGGGAGCUAGCGUUGUUCGGAAUUACUGGGCGUAAAGCGUACGUAGGCGGUUAUUCAAGUCAGAGGUGAAAGCCUGGAGCUCAACUCCAGAACUGCCUUUGAAACUAGAUAGCUAGAAUCUUGGAGAGGUGAGUGGAAUUCCGAGUGUAGAGGUGAAAUUCGUAGAUAUUCGGAAGAACACCAGUGGCGAAGGCGACUCACUGGACAAGUAUUGACGCUGAGGUACGAAAGCGUGGGGAGCAAACAAGAUUAGAUACCCUGGUAGUCCACGCCGUAAACGAUGAUAACUAGCUGUUCGGGCUCUACGAGCUUGAGUGGCGCAGCUAACGCAUUAAGUUAUCCGCCUGGGGAGUACGGUCGCAAGAUUAAAACUUAAGGAAUUGACGG
rnacentral:rRNA from 1 species